rnacentral:rRNA from 1 species
AUUGAACGCUGGCGGAAUGCUUUACACAUGCAAGUCGAACGGCAGCACGGGGGCAACCCUGGUGGCGAGUGGCGAACGGGUGAGUAAUACAUCGGAACGUGCCCAAUCGUGGGGGAUAACGUAGCGAAAGCUACGCUAAUACCGCAUACGAUCUACGGAUGAAAGCGGGGGAUCGCAAGACCUCGCGCGAAUGGAGCGGCCGAUGGCAGAUUAGGUAGUUGGUGGGGUAAAGGCUCACCAAGCCGACGAUCUGUAGCUGGUCUGAGAGGACGACCAGCCACACUGGGACUGAGACACGGCCCAGACUCCUACGGGAGGCAGCAGUGGGGAAUUUUGGACAAUGGGCGCAAGCCUGAUCCAGCCAUUCCGCGUGCAGGAUGAAGGCCUUCGGGUUGUAAACUGCUUUGUACGGUAACGAAACGGACCCUUCUAUACAGGGGCGUAAUGACGGUACCGUAAGAAUAAG